rnacentral:lncRNA from 1 species
CCGUGUGCGCGCGAGGAUUUCUUUUGCAGAGAAUGAAACCACCGUUCCUUUCCGUCCGUGGUCUACUCCGGGGUCCCCAUCCCACGCCAUAUUCUGCUGAUGGAGAAAUGGGAUCUCACCCAAGGAAAGUGACUUGCCAGGGUUACACCACUGGUAAGUGGAGACCUAUGACUUGAACCUGUCUCUAACUCCAGAGACUGUACUUUCUCGCGUUUAUGCUUUUUGGCAGUUCUUUCCUCUUCAUUCCCCCAUCUCUCCAAUUACACAUUCAUAUACACAUAAACACUCCGAUACCCUCAAACUACCAGAAGCCACGUCAGAGACUUGAGAACUUUGGACCAGGAACUGAUGGAGACAAAGAUGACCUAGGAAGAUGGCUACAUUGGGAAUGGAGGCAGAGAUUGGAGUUAUGUGGCCACAAGGGAAGGAACUCCUGGGGCUCCCAGAAGCUGGAAGAAACAAGGAUCCUUCCCCUAUAGGCUUUGGAGGGAGCGUGGCUCUGCAACACCUUGGUUUUGGACUUCUAGCUCCAGAAGUGUAAGAGAAUAAAUUUCUGUGAUCUCAUAUUCAGUUCAUGGUGCUAUAUCAUGGUAGCCCUAGAAACUAAGAUACACAGGUAUGUUGGAUGUAUGGGUCAGGCCCACACCCAGGGUGCAUACGGCCUUUGGUUAAAAAAAAACUCUCAUUUCUGUGGGGAAUCCAUUGCCAGUGGUCUGGAUGACAUGGCCACUGCCUCUCUUCAGGGAUGUGCACAAGACCCUGGCCUGGCCAAUCAGAAUACCUCAUGCCCAGGACCACAGUAACUGGGUCAGGGGUUGUCAAGAUUUAUAUAAAUGAUUUACAUAAAAUGUUUAAAUGUUUUGUUAAAAUAUUUAAAAUAAAAAAUGUUUCUAAGA